AAACCAUGAUUCAGAGACCGCAUCAAGUACUACUUGAACCACUCCUAAGCUUCAUACAAUUGUUCCCCCAGAAGUUGUUUGAACUCAAAACUUUUGUCUUAGAGUUC